AGCAGCCCUCUCUGCUGGCCGCAGGUCAUGAAACUGAUAGUGUGUUCUACCUGUAUUAUGCCUGCACUUCAUGCCAGAGGAGGGCACCAGAUCUCAUUAUAGGUGACUGUGAGCCACCAUGUGGUUUCUGGGGAUUAGAACUCAGGACCUCUGGAAGAGCAGCCAAUGCUCUUAACCUUUGAGCCAUCUCUCCAGCCCAAGCAGCAACUUUUUAAAAGGCGACCACAGCUGCUAAAAUGAGUUCAUGCGUGCAAUGUCCCUGCUGUGUCCAGGAAACUCUGGUGCAUGCUCCCGUAGAUGGUCCCACAUCAUAUACACAUGAACAAGUUGGAGAGAUGACAUGACAUGUUCUGGGGAAUCCAGGAGGAGUUGAAGAGGGGGGCUAAGGGGUGGAUGUAAACAAAAUAUAAUGUCUAGAUUUAUGAAGUUUUCAAAGAGCGAAUAAAAAUUAUUUUUAAAAGAG
rnacentral:lncRNA from 1 species